rnacentral:lncRNA from 1 species
CAUGUACUGUCAUACUGUUAGUAUGUUUCAUGUAACUGUCAUACUGUUAGUAUGUUUCAUGUAACUGUUAGUAUGUUUCAUGUAACUGUCAUACUGUUAGUAUGUUUCAUGUAACUGUUAGUAUGUUUUCAUGAACUGCAUACUGUUAGUAUGUUUCAUGUAACGUAGUAAUUCACAUAACUGUCAUACUAUUAGUAUGUUC